rnacentral:rRNA from 1 species
CCUACGGGGGGCAGCAGUGGGGAAUAUUGCGCAAUGGGCGAAAGCCUGACGCAGCGACGCCGCGUGAGGGAUGAAGGUCUUCGGAUCGUAAACCUCUGUCAGCAGGGAAGAACGGUCACUGUGCUAAUCAGCAGUGAAUUGACGGUACCUGCAAAGGAAGCACCGGCUAACUCCGUGCCAGCAGCCGCGGUAAUACGGAGGGUGCGAGCGUUAAUCGGAAUUACUGGGCGUAAAGCGCUCGUAGGCGGUAUGUCAAGUCAAGGGUGAAAUCCCCGCGCUCAACGUGGGAACUGCCGUUGAAACUGGGGAUCUAGAGUGUGCGAGAGGUAGGCGGAAUGCGUGGUGUAGCGGUGAAAUGCGUAGAUAUCACGAAGAACCCCGAUUGCGAAGGCAGCAUACUGGUGCACAACUGACGCUCAGGCACGAAAGCGUGGGUAGCGAACAGGAUUAGAUACCCGAGUAGUC